UACGGAGGGUGCAAGCGUUAUCCGGAUUCACUGGGUUUAAAGGGUGCGUAGGUGGGCAAGUAAGUCAGUGGUGAAAUCUCCGGGCUUAACCCGGAAACUGCCAUUGAUACUAUUUGUCUUGAAUACUGUGGAGGUCAGCGGAAUAUGUCAUGUAGCGGUGAAAUGCUUAGAUAUGACAUAGAACACCAGUUGCGAAGGCAGCUGGCUACACAAAUAUUGACACUAAGGCACGAAAGCGUGGGGAUCAAACAGG
rnacentral:rRNA from 1 species